rnacentral:rRNA from 1 species
GUGUCCUACGGGGGGCAGCAGUGAGGAAUAUUAGUCAAUGGCCGUAAGGCUGCCCCCGCCCCUUCUCGUGCCGGAAGAAGGAUCUAUGGUUUGUAAACUUCUUUUAUAGGGGAAUAAAGGUAUCCACGUGUGGAUAUUUGCAUGUACCCUAUGAAUAAGCAUCGGCUAACUCCGUGCCAGCAGCCGCGGUAAUACGGAGGAUGCGAGCGUUAUCCGGAUUUAUUGGGUUUAAAGGGUGCGUAGGUUGUUUUUUAAGUCAGCGGUGAAAGUUUGUGGCUCAACCAUAAAAUUGCCGUUGAAACUGG